AACGCACAUUGCGCCCGCCAGCACUCUGGCGGGCAUGCCUGUUCGAGCGUCAUCUCAACCCUCGAAAGCCCCCUUUUGGGGGGGCGUUCGGCGUUGGGGGACGGCGCUGCAAAGCGCCGCCCCCGAAAUUCAGUGGCGACCCCGCCGCGGCCUCCCCUGCGCAGUACUUUUACAGCUCGCACCGGAGCCCGGCGAGGCCCCUGCCGUAAAACCCCCCAACUUCUCAAAGGUUGACCUCGAAUCAGGUAGGAAUACCCGCUGAACUUAA
rnacentral:misc_RNA from 1 species